rnacentral:rRNA from 1 species
CCCUUAGAUGUUCUGGGCGGCCCGCGCACUACAAUGGCGCUUUCAGCGAGUUCCUAUGUUGAAUUUUCCUGGGUAUUCUUGGAAGCGGCGUCUUGACUUGGGAUAGAUCCUUGUAAUUGUUGGUUUUGAACGAGGAAUUCCUUGUAAUCGCGGUUGAUCAGCUCGCGUUGAAUACGUCCCUGCCCUUUGUACACACCGCCCGUCGCUCCUACCGAUGAAUCGUCCGGUGAAGUUCACAGAGUGGCGGUUCGUGGAGUUGCUCGCGAAGUGAAAUGGACCCCACGAUUUAGAGGAAGGAGAAGUCGUAACA